rnacentral:rRNA from 1 species
AGGUGAAGCGGGGCUUCGGCCCCGUGGAAACUGGCGCACGGGUGAGUAACGCGUGGGAAUCUACCCCGGGGUGGGGAAUAACCGCUGGAAACGGCGGCUAAUACCGCAUACGCCUUGCGAGGGAAAGCUUUAGCGCCCUGGGACGAGCCCGCGUCGGAUUAGCUUGUUGGUGAGGUAACGGCUCACCAAGGCUUCGAUCCGUAGCUGGUCUGAGAGGAUGAUCAGCCACACUGGGACUGAGACACGGCCCAGACUCCUACGGGAGGCAGCAGUGGGGAAUAUUGGACAAUGGGGGCAACCCUGAUCCAGCCAUGCCGCGUGCGUGAAGAAGGCCUUAGGGUUGUAAAGCGCUUUCGGCGGGGAAGAUGAUGACGGUACCCGCAGAAGAAGCUCCGGCUAACUCCGUGCCAGCAGCCGCGGUAAUACGGAGGGGGCUAGCGUUGUUCGGAAUUACUGGGCGUAAAGGGCGCGUAGGCGGAUUGUCAAGUCAGAGGUGAAAGCCCUGGGCUCAACCUGGGAACUGCCUUUGAAACUAACGGUCUAGAGUCCGAGAGAGGAUGGCGG